GAAAUUCCUUGCUUUGAAUAAUACAUACAGAACAAGGAGAAAGGGUAGUCUGAGUUUAAUUUUGUGGCCGGAGUUGUAUUUAUGUCGAAUUAAUUUAUGUGGGUGUUUUUUUGUUUUCGAUAAAUUUUCAGAGAAUUAUUGAAAAUGGGGUCGUUAGGAAUGUCGAUUGAUGAGAUUGUGCAAGAAAUUAUGAGAAUUCAUGGAUCUCUACCGACAAGACCAUCGAUUGAUGAGGUUGAAGCAGCAAGAGCUUUAAUUGGAAAUCUGGAGAAAGAAGAUCAGUUGAAAAUAGAAGCUAUCAUGAGGCAAAAUAAAAGGAAAGGUGUUCCAGAAGAGCUAUUCAAAAUUUUGCAAGAGAUGCAGAGGAACGCUCUUCUUUUUCAGAGUAAAGAACAAAAGAGGGAGGCCUUGAAACUUUUAGAUCUCGAGA
rnacentral:misc_RNA from 1 species